rnacentral:rRNA from 1 species
GACGAACGCUGGCGGCGUGCUUAACACAUGCAAGUCGAACGGAAAGGCCCUGCUUUUGUGGGGUGCUCGAGUGGCGAACGGGUGAGUAACACGUGAGUAACCUGCCCUUGACUUUGGGAUAACUUCAGGAAACUGGGGCUAAUACCUGAUAGGAUCUCCUGCUGCAUGGUGGGGGUUGGAAAGUUUCGGCGGUUGGGGAUGGACUCGCGGCUUAUCAGCUUGUUGGUGGGGUAGUGGCUUACCAAGGCUUUGACGGGUAGCCGGCCUGAGAGGGUGACCGGCGACAUUGGGACUGAGAGACGGCCCAGAAUCCUACGGGAGGCAGCAGUGGGGAAUAUUGCAAAAUGGGAGGAAGCCUGAUGCAGAAACGCCGCGUGCGGGAUGACGGCCUUCGGGUUGUAAACCGCUUUCGCCUGUGACGAAGAGUGAGUGACGGUAAUGGGUAAAGAAGCACCGGCUAACUACGUG